rnacentral:rRNA from 1 species
CCUACGGGUGGCAGCAGUGAGGAAUAUUGGUCAAUGGACGAGAGUCUGAACCAGCCAAGUAGCGUGAAGGAUGACUGCCCUCUGGGUUGUAAACUUCUUUUAUAUGGGAAUAAAACGUUCCACGUGUGGGAUUUUGUAUGUACCAUAUGAAUAAGGAUCGGCUAACUCCGUGCCAGCAGCCGCGGUAAUACGGAGGAUCCGAGCGUUAUCCGGAUUUAUUGGGUGUAAAGGGAGCGUAGGUGGAUUGUUAAGUCAGUUGUGAAAGUUUGCGGCUCAACCGUAAAAUUGCAGUUGAAACUGGCAGUCUUGAGUACAGUAGAGGUGGGCGGAAUUCGUGGUGUAGCGGUGAAAUGCUUAGAUAUCACGAAGAACUCCGAUUGCGAAGGCAGUUCACUGGACUGCAACUGACACUGAGGCUCGAAAGUGUGGGUAUCAAACAGGAUUAGAUACCCUAGUAGUC